rnacentral:rRNA from 1 species
UUAGGAAUCUUCCACAAUGGGCGCAAGCCUGAUGGAGCGACGCCGCGUGAGGGAUGAAGGUUUUCGGAUCGUAAACCUCUGAAUGGGGGACGAAAGGGCCGUAAGGCAGAUGACGGUACCCCAGUAAUAGCACCGGCUAACUCCGUGCCAGCAGCCGCGGUAAUACGGAGGGUGCAAGCGUUACCCGGAAUCACUGGGCGUAAAGGGCGUGUAGGCGGUUAUUCAAGUCUGGUUUUAAAGACCGGGGCUCAACUCCGGAGAUGGACUGGAGACUGGAUGACUAGACCUCUGGAGAGGCAAUCGGAAUUCCUGGUGUAGCGGUGGAAUGCGUAGAUACCAGGAGGAACACCAACGGCGAAGGCAGAUUGCUGGACAGAAGGUGACGCUGAGGCGCGAAAGUGUGGGGAGCGAACCGG